rnacentral:rRNA from 1 species
UAGGGAAUCUUCGGCAAUGGACGAAAGUCUGACCGAGCAACGCCGCGUGAGUGAAGAAGGUCUUCGGAUCGUAAAACUCUGUUGGUAGAGAAGAACGUUGGUGAGAGUGGAAAGCUCAUCAAGUGACGGUAACCACCCAGAAAGUCACGGCUAACUACGUGCCAC